UACGUAGGGUGCAGGCGUUAAUCGGAAUUACUGGGCGUAAAGCGUGCGCAGGCGGUUUGCUAAGACAGGUGUGAAAUCCCCCGGGCUUAACCUGGGAACUGCGCUUGUAACUGGCAAGCUGGAGUGUGGCAGAGGGGGGGUGGAAUUCCACGUGUAGCAGUGAAAUGCGUAGAGAUGAUGGAGGAACACCGAUGGCGAAGGCAGCCCCCCUGGGCUAACACUGACGCUCAUGCACGAAAGCGUGGGGAGCAAACAGG
rnacentral:rRNA from 1 species